rnacentral:lncRNA from 1 species
AUUUAUAAUAUUAUUAUAAAUUUUUUCUUUUGUCUCUGUCGCCUCUCCUUCAAUCCUCCGUAUGCUUUCUCAUCCGAAGACUCCAACAUUGCAGUAGUAAUGUAGCUCCAGACCGCCUCCCAGCGUCGUAGGGGCCUCCAGCUUCAUCGGCGUUGUAGCUCUAGCAUCGUCAAUGUGCAGCCUCCAACGUCGCAGCUCCAUCGUUCUCCAGCGUCGUGGCUCUAGCGUAACAUUGCAGUAGCGACGUAGCUCCAGGCCGCCUCUCAGCAUCGCAGCAAGCGACCUCCAGCUUUGUCGCUGUUGCAGCUCCAACGUCGUCAGCGUGCAGCCUCCACCGUCAUCAGCAUUGCGCCUCCAUCUUCAUCAGCGUUGUAGCUCUACCAUUCUCCAGUGUCGCGGCUCCAGCGUCACAGAAGCAGCGUUGUAGCUUCAAUUGAUAAAUCUUGUGUUAGUUAUUUAUGUUUCUUGUAUUAUGUUCUAUCUAAUUCUAAGAUGGGUUUGUAAUAUAAGUAUUGUGUUGAUUUGUAUUUUUACUGUGUAAAUUUUCUUUCUUUCCAUUUAGAUUGUGUUUGACUUGAGAGAAACUGAAAUAAUCAUAGGAGAAGAGAGAAAG